rnacentral:lncRNA from 1 species
UGACUCCCAAUCCCAUCAUUAUAGAGAAAAUGUAUCAUGGCAGAAAGACCAUGUUAUUUGGAUUCAGACAAUACUGGUUCAAUCCCAGAAUUUCCAUAUUUUAGCUGAGUGAACUUGGGCAACUUUGCUUAAACUCUGUGAGGCUCAAUUCCUCAUACAUAAAGUAAUAAUUAACUCUCUGCUCCUUAGAGUCAUUAUAUGUAUUAAUUUACACUAAGUGCAGAAAGGUGUUUAAACAAUUGAAGUUAUUUUUAAUCCUUCUUGAAAUUAUAUUUCAUUUGUUUCUAUGAACUGAGUACUAAUCAUCAGCAAUACCACCAGAAAGGGCUCCCUCUUAAAGUUCUGAACUGGAAUCAUUUAGAAACAGGUGAUAAAAACAUAAAUGUGUCUUUUGGUUCUAAAUGUAGUUAAGUCACAUGGUUAAAUUAAUAUCUACUUUAAGCAAUGGUACCACUGAUUUUUAAAACUUCCCUAAUACUGAAGGAGUCUUCAACAAGUUAAUCUUUUGGCCAUAUAUUUCUACUUAUAGAGGUUUGAUUUUCAACUUUGGUAGUGAAUGAAAUACAUAUAAGUUAACUUGUUAUAAAACAAUGUUGAAUCCUAUGGCACCAACAAGAUUCCAAAAAAGAGAAUGAUUAUUAAAGUGCAGAGCACCCUGAAUACAAGUUUUGCCUUAUGAAAGUAUACAUGAUACAUUAGAGAAGUAGCUGACUCUGUAGAACUGAAGCCUACUUCUUGAUUUAGUAAAUAUAGGAAUUCUAGAGUCAGCUGAUUAAAAAGUCAUGCAACCUUGAACAAGUUAGACAUUCUCUCUUGGCCCCAGUGUCCUUUUUAAAAUAAAUAUUUAGUAGUUGAGAUUAGAAUUUGUAUAACCAUAUCCAGAUUCAAAAUUCUGAGGGUCUAUAAAUUCACUGAAAAAUAUACCUACAGUGGAUGGAACAAGAAAAAAAAAAUAACUUGGGUCAAUCAGAAAUUAAUGAAUCCCAGGAAGGCCCAGGUUCCUCUGCAACAACCCCUUCCACACAAAGCCUUUGACAUUUGUAAUUUUUUUUUUUUUUUUGCAAGACUACUGAAUUAUUAUGUUUUAACCCACCCUUGGAGUGGCCUUCAGAUACCUUCCAUCAAACCUUGUCAGUAUUUGAAGCAAUAAUAAUACUGAGCCAGGUGGACCUGUUUUGGAACAGAUUAAGCCUGUAUAUUGAACUACUAAGCUGCAAGAAAUACCAAGGAGAGGAAUAUGUUAAAUGAUACAAAGGGAAUCUGGUCAGUAAAAUUCAAAUAAGAAACUGUGUGAAGAUUUCUACACCAAUUAAAAAAGGAGAGACAGGAAGAAAGCGAUGGAGAUGUAACAAAGAAGUCUUUUGAUUAAAAGUAUUUGAGAGACAUAUUUAUGAACUGCAAUUGGAAAAAUUUUAAUCUUGACUUGAAUAAAUGAAGUUUUAAAAAUAAGCAUUUAUGGGACAAUCAUGGAAACCUGAGCAAUGAUUGGACAUUUAAUGAUAUUUAAAAUAUAUCAUUAAUUUCUAAGUUGACAUAAUGUUAUAUUAUGAAAAAGAAUUAUCUUUGGAGAUCUCUGCUGAAAUAUUUAUGGAUUCCAUAUGAUAUCAGAGAUUUGUUUCUGUGAAAUCUUUGAUGUCAUAUUGUUUAAUCCAUAAAUAUUUGGAGAAGAAAGGAUAAAAUAUUAGUGAAAGGAAAUUAAAACUGGACAUUAGUAGAUAAUUUUUCAAGUUGAGCAAUACUAUAUUUUGUUUGGAUGUUUGAAAUUUCCAUCAUUAAAUUUAAAACACAUGUGUGCAUGCACACACACACACACAGACACACACAGAUACUGCUUAUGAAUAGAAAGGAAUCCUAUUGAUAAGUAAAGCAUGAAUUUAGAAUUGUCUUUACUUAGAAAUCUCUUGCUGACACUAUGUGCUGAAGAGUAAUUUCUAUUAGCCACAAAAUUCCCAUGAAAUUGAGAUGACUUCACAACCUUCCAUGGAAAACACCUAGAAUGCUGCAGGAAUCCCAUGGUAUAAGAACCAAAUUUGAACUUAAUUGCAGCAGGAGCUUUUGUAAAAUCUUAAUAAUAACUUAAAAACUCAUAAUAAUUCUGCUAUGAAUAAAUUUGCACAAAUUUCCCUUUAACUGUGUGGAUCCAGGGUCUCCAGGUAGGGCACAGAAAUUGUCAACCCUUUGUAGCAUUUGUAUACAGGACAGGACAUUUUAUAUACAUUAAAAAAGUAGGAAAGCUUUACAUUUGAAAACCCUUCUGUUCUGAUGAAGCAAGUGUACUGCACAGAGGAGACAAGUCACUGUCUUUACAGGGACAGUAAGUAAUUCCUGUGGAGGGAGGAGAGAAAGGGAGAAAUUACAGCCACAGUUAAUUUUAUUUUUAUUUCAUGUCCGUCUUUAUACAAGGUCUUCAAAUUAUCUCAUUGAUAGCAGUAAUCAAAGAUAGAGAAUGGAAAUACAUCAUGCCAAGGCAUGUGCUCAUACACACAUACACAUACACAUAAUGCAGGAGUGACAGCUGAUGGACCCUGAUGGUUCUUUCCAGCCCAAUUAUGAUUGAUAGCAUUCCAUUACCUUUAUGCUUAUUUUAAAAUCCUCUUGACACAGAUUGAUUAAAGGCAUGGACCUCUAUGAACCUAUGAAAAAUUUAUGGAUUUUGAAAGAGCUUUAACAUGUACCAUUUAAGCACAAAUCAUUUCCUGGCUGUCACUGUUUUUCCCACAAUCUCUCUU